AUUGAACGCUGGCGGCAGGCCUAACACAUGCAAGUCGAACGAGUAGCGGACGGGUGAGUAAUGUCUGGGAAACUGACUGAUGGAGGGGGAUAACUACUGGAAACGGUAGCUAAUCCCGCAUACCAUCAGAUGUGCGCAGAUGGGAUUAGUUAGUUGGUGGGGUAACGGUUCACCAAGGCGACGAUCCCUAGCUGGUCUGCGAGGAUGACCAGCCACGCUGGAACUUAGACACGGUCCAGACUCCUACGGGAGUCAGCAGUGGGGAAUAUUGCACAUGGGGCGCAAGCCUGAUGCAGCCAUGCCGCGUGUAUGAAGAAGGCCUGCGGGUUGUAAAGUACUUUCAGCGGGGAGGCGUUACCCGCAGAAGAAGCACCGGCUAACUCCGUGCCAGCAGCCGCGGUAAUUC
rnacentral:rRNA from 1 species